CCAAAAGUGAUGCUAGCAGAAAACAGGUAAGGUAGAAGGGCCACGGAUAUUCAAAGUGAGCGUCAGAGGGGAUACUGAGGGGUCAAUGAGGAGGUAGACUGUCCCAGGAGCACAGCCGACUCCAGGAGGUGGCGAAGGUCUUGAGAAGAGUCUCAGAAUGGACAGGCUUGAAGUCACUAUGGAGCUGUACUUUGUACUUUGGUUGUCUCGACUCCGUCUCCCUCGUGCUGGGAUUACAGGAGAGUUUAUUGUAGGUUCCUCUGCUUUCCCCAGGGACAGAAGACAGGCUCGUGCCCAAUGAACAUAAUCAACAGCUAACUCAAAUGUACCCCUAGCUCAGAGCUAUUAGCUGAAGCCGCACUCCUCAUCGCCAAAGAAUCCCCAUCAGGACCAGCAGCAGCCUGUGGGAAGGAUCCAAAAUAUCUGAUGCCUAGACCCAUUCCAGACUGUGGAUUAUCAACCCAGCCUGAUAACCCAGCCUGUGGGUAGCCACAUUCUCCCAUAGGUGGCGCUGUUUCCCUGUUUUCUUUGUAAUGACGUAGAGCAAACCUAAGACUUCAUCUGUGUUGGGGAAUGAAGGCUUUGCCACCGACCUCCAUUGCUAGACCUGUUUUCCUUUGAUAUAAAACCAGCAGAAGAUGCUCAGGGUACCACCCAGCUUAUGCCCUGCAUCUCCCGUUCACAGUCUUUGCCCUACAGGAAGUCCCAGGUCACCUGCGAUGAAGGUGUGGACGAUUCUCCACUGCAGAGAAUGGCAAGAUCUCACUCUGGUAUUGGUUUUGAGGGAAGGUUUAAAAUGCACGGUGAGAUAGAAGGACAGAGUAUGGAGACACAAAUCUACGAAGCAAUUAUGCUAUGGAUUGGUGGUGACGAAAGUUACUUGAUUUUUCUGAAGCAAAACAUGAUGGUAAAGAUGGACACUCAGCUUCCGGCGAGAGUUGGAGAGGAAGCGCUCUCAGACCAUCACGGGUGUGCCUGGAUGCAGGGCCACCAUUCCAGAGUGCUCUUACUGAGA
rnacentral:lncRNA from 1 species